rnacentral:rRNA from 1 species
CCAAUAGCGUAUAUUAAAGUUGUUGCAGUUAAAAGGCUCGUAGUUGAAUUUCGGGAUCAAUACGUCGGUCGUGCCUCUGGUAUGUACUGGUGUUAUUGAUUUCUCCCUUCUGAUGAACCAUGAUGUCAUUCAUUUGGUGUUGUGUGGAGUCAGGACUGUUACUUUGAAAAAAUUAGAGUGUUUAAAGCAGGCUCACGCUUGAAUACAUUAGCAUGGAAUAAUGAAAUAGGACGUUCGAUCCUAUUUUGUUGGUUUCUAGGAUCAACGUAAUGAUUAAUAGGGAUAGUUGGGGGCAUUAGUAUUCAAUUGUCAGAGGUGAAAUUCUUGGAUUUAUUGAAGACUAACUACUGCGAAAGCAUUUGCCAAGGAUGUUUUCAUUAAUCAAGAACGAAAGUUAGGGGAUCGAAGACGAUCAGAUACCGUCGUAGUCUUAACCAUAAACUAUGCCGACUAGGGAUCGGAUGAUGUUAAUUUUUUAAUGACUCAUUCGGCGCCUUACG